rnacentral:lncRNA from 1 species
AUCAGGUGGUGGCGAGCGCGGGGACAGGGUGAAAGCUGUGCGGGUCGGCGACAGAUGUGCGGAUAAUCACCUUGCUGGUCACGGGCCACCAUCACCACGGAGCCAAGGAAUUUUCUGUCGCGAGCCCCGCUAACGGGCUUGCCGCCGAGAACUCUGGGAAAUGUAGUUAGGCGCGAGCAAGCUGCCGUUAGUUGCCGGUCUGAGGCGGGAACCGCGGCCCCGCAUGUGUUCGCGGCUCGGGUCAGCCUUCCACGAGCUCCUGAAGUUCUGUCGUUCCUCAUGGCCUCCAGUUCAGGAAGCUUCUAGAACAUGUGGCACCUCUACAAUGGAAACAAGAUCCGCAUCAUCAGCUUCAGAUGUGUUCUUGGAACCCUGAGUUCGCCUCGGCAGCUGUCCGAAAGUUAAUCCUGUGAAGGGACCUGAAGCAGACCCUCUGCGGAAGUCCCAAGCACCCACGAAGAACAUCGCAGUGUAUUCAUUCCCCUUCCGGUGGCCUCGGGAUCCAAGCAGGAAAGAAGAGGGAAGAACUCUGAAGGACACGAGCGACCCAGCUUACAGUCCAGGAAAGGCGGCCCCUCCCCUCAGCAGUUGUGUGAGCUGAAGGGACCCAAGAACUAACCAGAGAGGGCCAGCGGGCGACUGUUAGUCUGGAUUCCCAGCCCCCCAGUAGCUUUGUGGCCAGCCUGGUGUGGAAGGAAGCUGGAAGCCACCUGAAUGGUGGUUCAUUGCCAGCGUGGACCGGCUCACAUGGCAGCAGCCUGGCUCCCUCCUAGACAAUAUUUGAGAGAGAGCCGCGUCUUGUCUUUUGCAUUC